AACCAAACCCAGCAUGAAGAUCCUUUAUCUGCUGUUUGCAUUUCUUUUCCUUGCAUGCCUGUCUCAACCAGGGAAUGCCCAACUAUCGUGUC